rfam:Habropoda laboriosa contig16515, whole genome shotgun sequence.
UCAUCAAGGAGGCCUGGCCAGUCCUGAGCCUACAAAUCACAGAAAUGUAUAAUAGAUGCCUCACACAUUUCCACUACAGUGGAAAAGUGCGCAUAUAAAAAUGUUACUCAAAAACAAGCAAAAGAACAGAACCGACCCACAGUCAUACAGACCAAUAUCACUUCUGCCAAUAUUCUCAAAAAUCUUUGAAAAACUACUAAACUCUCGAUUAUAAAACACGUUCCACAGAAACGAAUAAACAGCUACAAGACAAUACAGCUUCAAACCUGGAAGAUCUACACAAGAUGCAAUAGUAAAACUAAGAGAACUCAUAGCAGCAACGCAGGAAAAGUACGCUAUUGGCCUCCUCUUCGACAUAACCGGAGCCUUUGAUAAUGCCUGGUGGCCAGGCAUCUUGCAAAACCAGAAGCAAAGGAAUUGUCCGAGGAAUAUAUACGCAACACUCCAGGACUAUUUUAGAAACAGAACAGUUGAAAUAAACACAAAGAACACUGCGGCACGCAAGAAAGUUAGCAAAGGCUGCCCACAGGGAUCGGCCCUAGGGCCGCAGCUCUGGAACCUCAUCUUUGACGAGGCAAUAAACAGACUUCAGGAACAGGGACAUGAGACAAUAGCCUACGCAGAUGACAUUAUCAUUUUCACAACCGGAAACGCCAGGAAAACAAUAGAGGAAAAAGCCAACUCAGCAACAACAGUCUUAACGCAGUGAUACGCAGAACAAAAACUCACACUAUCUCACACCAAAUCAUAAAUGUUCCUAUUAAAGGGUUUCCUGGACCUAAAACACCCACCAAUAGUUAAGAUCGGCAACAUAUCCAUGAAAAUGGCGCAAACAGCAAAGUACCUUGGCAUCCAUUUAGGCCCGCGUAUAAACAUUACACCGCACAUCAAACACAUCUGCGAAAAGACCAAAACAACCUUCAGUGCGCUCGCAAGAGUUGCAAAAGCAAACUGGGGACUAAGCACAAAAACGAUGCAAACAAUAUACAAAGGAGUGUUCAUACCCAUCGUAGUCUACGCUACGGCGGGCUGGGCGGAUAAAAUGAACGUGCAGCAUAAGAGGAGUCUCGCACAGGCACAGAAGUAUGCCUUGUGAGAACAACAAAGGCAUACAAACCGAUAUCAAACGAUGCACUCCUGGUUCUAGCAGCGGCCCCGCCAAUUGAUCUCAUCCUAGAAGAAAGAAGAAAAAUAUACCGCGAAACCAAAAACCAAACCGCUGAAAUAGAAAGCCGGGCAUAUACUAUGCUGCGUCGUUGGGGAACGUCAUGGUGGGGUCGCUCAACCGAUGAGAUCGUACUGUGAGGUCUGUGGUGAGAAAGUAGUUAGAUCUGCCACCGGAUACACCUACGGCGUAUUUCCACUCCACCAUCGAGUCGGGUGGUCUGGGGAUACCUUCGCUUCGGUGAAGUAUUCCCAGAAUUCGGCUGAACCGAUUGCAAAGGCUCUCGCUAUCCGAUGUGGCGUCCUCUGUUCGUCCUGGGGAUUACCUUGGCCUCCAGAUCGCUAGGGCACGAUCAACACGCAAUCCAAGAGAAAGCAGGAACAGGAACGAAGAAAACAUGCGGGAAAACGUCAAAAAAGACACAAUAAUCAAGUGGCAGCAAAGACGGCAGACCUUAACAAAGGGAAGAAUCACAUACGCAUACAUCACUACACAAUCCAACUACUCUCAGGCCACGGCAACCUAAAACACAGAUUACACCAACUAGGUCUAGCAGAGGACGACAAGUGCAGCUGCGGAGAGACAGACACAGUGCCACACAUAAUUUUCGACUGCCAAGAUUUCGAACAGGAACGCCGAGAAUUAAGGAACCGACUCGCGGAAAAUAAUACACAAUGGCCAUGCGAACUGGAAAUGUGAAUAACACAGAACAACUAUGAACACUUCAAGAUAUAUGCAAACAGGGUUCUCCUGAAACGAGAACAGGAAUAGAGCACCACACCAUACCUCGUAAUCAACACCCGCGGGCGCUGGGAUGCACUAUGCUAGCAGCGCGUUGGUUUCGAGAGGUGAAGACCCUUUACCCAGGCCGACACCAGAACUCGCUGAGCGAGCCCAUAAGAGAUUGAGCGAAAGCUAGUGACUCCACCUCCACGUGGUCCCCGCUGGGCAACGUUUUGCCGGUGAAUUAGGGCUCGCCCUGAUUCACCGUCAAAGCGGCGAAGCGAGUUAUGGGCGUGAGCCUGCCUGGAGCCGCCGUCGGUGCAGAUCUUGGUGGUAGUAGCAAAUACUUCAGCGAGGACCUGGAGGACUGACGUGGAGAAGGGUUUCGUGUGAACAGCCGUUGCACACGAGUCAGUCGAUCCUAAGCCCUAUGAGAAAUCAUAUGCCGAUGAGGUGUCCUUAAACACAUGUGCAAACGCAACAAUUCGAACGCUAGGUACACACCCAUCGGGCGAAAGGGAAUCCGGUUCCUAUUCCGGAACCCGGUAGCGGAACCGAAAUCCAUUCGGGCCCUCAUUGAGUGUUCGUCGGGGUAACCCAAAAUGACCUGGAGACGCCGUCGGGAGAUCCGGGGAGAGUUUUCUUUUCUGUAUAAGCGUUCGAGUUCCCUGGAAACUUCUAGCAAGGAGAUAGGGUUUGGAACGCGAAGAGCACCGCAGUUGCGGCGGUGUCCGGAUAUUCCCCUCGGACCUUGAAAAUCCAGGAGAGGGCCACGUGGAGGUGUCGCACCGGUUCGUACCCAUAUCCGCAGCAGGUCUCCAAGGUUAAGAGCCUCUAGUCGAUAGAUUAAUGUAGGUAAGGGAAGUCGGCAAAUUGGAUCCGUAACUUCGGGAUAAGGAUUGGCUCUGAGGAGCGGGGCGUGUCGGGCUUGGUCGGGAAGCGGGUCUGGCUGACGUGCCGGGCCUGGGCGAGGUGAACCUGUGGUGUCUCCGCAUGGGAUCCGAGCUCGGUCCCGUGCCUUGGCCUCCCGCGGAUCUUCCUUGCUGCGAGGCUUCCGUUGGCGGCCUGCCGUCGGCGGUCGUCCUCUUCGGCCGCCAUUCAACGCUCAGCUCAGAACUGGCACGGACUAGGGGAAUCCGACUGUCUAAUUAAAACAAAGCAUUGCGAUGGCCCCCACGGGUGUUGACGCAAUGUGAUUUCUGCCCAGUGCUCUGAAUGUCAACGUGAAGAAAUUCAAAAAAGCGCGGGUAAACGGCGGGAGUAACUAUGACUCUCUUAACAGGGGUCAUAGUUACGUAAAGGAUGGUGAUGCGCAAUACAGACCUCUCGUUAGGUCCCUUAGCCUCUCCCAUCCGAGCCUACUCCACCUCCUAUAGGUGCCCGCCGGGU